GCCUACGACCAUAUCACCCUGAAUGCGCCCGAUCUCGUCUAAUCUCGGAAGCUAAGCAUGGUCGAGCCUGAUUAGUACUUGGAUGGGAGACUGCCUGGGAAUACCAGGUGUUGUAGGCU
rnacentral:rRNA from 1 species